AUUGAACGCUGGCGGCAGGCCUAACACAUGCAAGUCGAACGGUAACAGGAAGCAGCUUGCUGCUUCGCUGACGAGUGGCGGACGGGUGAGUAAUGUCUGGGAAACUGCCUGAUGGAGGGGGAUAACUACUGGAAACGGUAGCUAAUACCGCAUAACGUCGCAAGACCAAAGAGGGGGACCUUAGGGCCUCUCGCCAUCGGAUGUGCCCAGAUGGGAUUAGCUAGUAGGUGGGGUAAAGGCUCACCUAGGCGCCGAUCCCUAGCUGGUCUGAGAGGAUGACCAGCCACCCUGGAACUGAGACACGGUCCAGACUCCUACGGGAGGCAGCAGUGGGGAAUAUUGCACAAUGGGCGCAAGCCUGAUGCAGCCAUGCCGCGUGUAUGAAGAAGGCCUUCGGGUUGUAAAGUACUUUCAGCGGGGAGGAAGGGAGUAAAGUUAAUACCUUUGCUCAUUGACGUUACCCGCAGAAGAAGCACCGGCUAACUCCGUG
rnacentral:rRNA from 1 species